AACACUAUGAUAACAUUUUAAGUAAAUAUCGCCCACCCCUAGUUCAUGAAGUUUUUUUUUCUCUACUACCUACAGUAAAUGUCCUUAACAUGAAUGUUUUCUAAAUAUUUCAGAGACAAUGUUGUAAUAAAAUCUGAACUUAUAGCAAGGCUUUGAUCUUUAGCAGAAUAUGGAAAGCUUGAAUUGUCACAAAUGCAUCCUUAGAAGUAUAAAUGAAUAUCAGCUUACUUCAAUAAUUCAGGUGUCAACAUUAAUAAUUUUAUACAUGCAUCUGCAUAAAUAAUAAUCCAGUAAACCUUCACACACACCUCACCACCAAUAUGGAUCUCCAAAACAGCUGGACGUGUUAAAUUCCCCCCCUCCACACACACACACACACACACACACACACACCUACACACACAAACACCCAGAUGCACCAAAGCGAUAAAGCUCAUUUGAUUUAUCAUAAUAUGCUUUAUCUGAAAACUAAGUAUCUUAUCUCCAGAUAAAGAGAGGAAAGACAGAGCAAUCCAUUCAGUUGGUGGAGCAGGAAAGAGGCUGAAAGGACGACGGCAGCUCCAGGAAAACGGACGGGUCGGAGAGGAGAACGAACGGGAAGAACCGGAGGGAAAGAAGAAAAGGAUGCGGGGAUGGGAGGAGAUUUGGAAAAAGGAUUCAGGGUGAUGAAGGGAAACGGGACAGGAUAACGAACAGCUGAAGAGUGAGAAAAUGUGACAUUCAUACGUUCUCCUUCAGACUGGUUGAGUUUUCCUAAGAACUCACGAUGCCAUUCCUCAGUCCAGACAGAUCACGCCGACAUAUACAGCAGAUUGAAUCCAGUCCAGGCUCUUCAGUGGUGCAUAUCCAAAUCAUUCCAACUGGUUUUCCAUGAACAUCCGGUUCCUCUGUUAAAACUGUUUUUGAUUUUCACAUGUUUUUCUUUCAUAAAUAUGUGUUUCAUAUUCUGUAAAGGUUGGUAAAGCUACUCAUACCUGAUACAGUUGUUCAACUAAAAACUGUGAUGAUCCAAAGCACAAUAAACUUCUUAUGCGAGAUAUUCUUGUGUAUAGUGUGUGUGUGUGUGUGUGUGUGUGUGUGUGUGUGUGUGUGUGUGUGUGUGUGUGUAGUGACAGGAGCUGCACCGUGAGGUGUGUCAGUUUGGAGGAUGACUGAUUACAGUGGACAGUAAUCCUGCAGAUGGAUUAGCAGGUGGUAUUAGGAGAAGUGGGGGUGUAGCACACUGCCACCUUUGAACUGUAACAAUAUGGAGCAGCAGCUCACAGGGCCUGGCCUCCGACUGCAUCACCCCCAGCCACACAUGCACAGAGCGGGAUGACCCACAGCGACAGAGGCCCCCCGAGACGGGACACGGGUUCUGACGGCGACAGAGGUCUCUACCGUUGGAAGGUGAAGUCUGACGAGUCUGCCUAACGAGUUCCCAUGACUGAGUCUCGCUGAGAUGAGAGUUAAAAGGAAAGAGAGAAAAUGUGUCCAAUGGAGAGAACUGUCCAAACGUCUGACGUUUUUUAUUUAAAUAAACUAAUUUUUCACUUCCUCAUUUGUUUAGAAUUCAGUUCAAUUCUAAAAUACUUUAUUGAUCAGCCUGAGAAAAACAUCUGCUCUUAAAGCAGCCUCAGAGCAUGGAGCUGCCACCCAGAACAGCUGUCAGGAUCCUGAAACAUUGAUCCAGAAGAGAAAUAACUCUACUGUCAGAUUGUAAGCAAGUUUUUUGUUUAACUGGGCUGCUUUUGUUGUAAGGAACCUGGGUAAAGGAUGAAAAACUAACUAAUCUUGUUGUUUGUUGUAUAAUGGCUUUAAACAUUGUCUCUAAUGAAAUCUAUUAUGUUGAGUCAAAGUUCUCCACUCUUUAGCUUUUAUGUUUCUCCUUUACUACAUCAUGAAAAAGAUUUAUUUAUUUUUUUUAGUCAUUAGCAUCUACCUACAUUUUUUCCAGUUUUCAGAUCCCAAAAAAAUAAACACAUAUUUUGUUGACACCUCACCAAAAGUUAAAUGAAACUUACAAUAUGUUUGAGUGAUGAAUCUUAUUAUAAUAUUUCUCCUUUUUCUUCAAAACUUUUGUUGUGUUUGUGUUUAUUUGUAUAUGCUACAUAUAAUUAAAUGAGAUGGCGCUCAUGACAAGGCGCGUAUUAGGUUGACAAGUACAGAAUAAUAAACAAUAUCUCAUGUUGGA